rnacentral:lncRNA from 10 species
UUGACCUGCUUCAUUUUACAGUAUCAGGAAAUCACUUUCCCCUCAGAAAUGGCCGGCUCACCUCAUUCCUGCCAAGACCCAGGUCCGUGUUCUCACAGUGCUGCCAUCUUUCCUCCGUGUGAGCGUGGGCUGUGCGGAGAGUGGACCUCGGUGUGUGCGGGGCUGCGUGCACUGCCAUCGCUCCCUCUACACGAGCCGGCGUGGACCCAGGGCUGAGCUGUGACCACGAGGGCCAUCCCGACGAGCCGCCAUGGACCCAGGGCUGAGCUGUGACCAUGAGGGCUAUCCCGACGAGCUGCCGUGGACCCAGGGCUGAGCCGUGACCAUGAGGGCCAUCCCGAAACUGUGAUUGUUUUCUGAUGAAGAAACCAAGGCUUUGUGACUAACUCAACCCCUCAAGAAGGACAAAACUAGCAUCAGAGCCCCUUGCUCCUGGGUCUGGCAAGAAUGCCUCUUGUUUGCUGAGAGGUCCACAGAUUUACCCGGCUCAAGACUGGGAGAUGGGAGGUGACCAGGUCAGUGCCAGCCUCUCUCUGAGCUCCUCUGAGUCGUGGCAGCUGAGGUGCUCCUCCGAGAAUGUUCUGCCAUCCGUGAGGUCGUGUACGCCUGGAAGCUUUUGUUCCAUUGAACUCUGC